GCCGCAAAGCGGAAGUGUGGCGCUUAACGGGAACCGGCGCCCGGAAGGUCAGAGUGUGAAGUAGGCGCUGGCAACGCGGGGUUACCCGCUGUUAUUGAGGAGUAACAGCUCUGCGGACCACCCAGGCUUGAGGCAGCGGCGGGAACCACUCGGUUUGCUGCGAUACCAUGGAAGGAGGCGGGGGAAGCGGCAACAAAACCACAGGGGGAUUGGCCGGCUUUUUCGGAGCCGGCGGAGCAGGUUACUCUCACGCGGAUUUGGCUGGCGUCCCGCUAACUGGUAUGAACCCUCUGUCUCCUUAUUUAAAUGUGGAUCCACGAUACCUCGUGCAGGAUACAGAUGAGUUUAUUUUACCUACCGGAGCUAAUAAAACCCGGGGCAGAUUUGAGCUGGCCUUCUUUACGAUUGGAGGGUGUUGCAUGACAGGGGCUGCGUUUGGUGCAAUGAAUGGUCUUCGGCUAGGAUUGAAGGAAACCCAGAACAUGGCCUGGUCCAAACCAAGAAAUGUACAGAUUUUGAAUAUGGUGACUAGGCAAGGGGCACUUUGGGCUAAUACUCUAGGUUCUCUGGCUUUGCUCUAUAGUGCAUUUGGUGUCAUCAUUGAGAAAACACGAGGUGCAGAAGAUGACCUUAACACAGUAGCAGCUGGAACCAUGACAGGCAUGUUGUAUAAAUGUACAGGUGAGUACUGUUGAAUGGGGAGCCAUCUCUUAAUACACUUGAAGUGCGCUUUUUAAAAUUCAUGGUUUUCAAGGAAAUUACACUCUGUUGCAGUAUAAUCUAGUGUUCUAACUUUAUGGUUAUUUUGGUUUGGUUUGGUUUUUAAUUGUGGUAAAAUAAACAUAAGAUUUACUCAUCUUAACCAUUUUUAAGUAUACAGUACAUUAGUAUUAUAGUCACAUGAUUAUAUAACCAAUCUCUGGAACUUUUUCAUCUUGCAAAACUGAUACUCUGUACCUAUUAAGCCUCCCAAUUUACCACUUCCUUAGCUCCUGAUAAUGUUACACUUUCUGUCUCUGAAUUAGCUGCUUUAGGCACCUCAUAUAAGUAGAAUCAUACAAUAUUUGUCCUUUUUUGAUUGGCUUAUUUUACGUAGCAUAAUAUCCUCAAGGUCAUCCAUGUUGUUGCAUGUGCCAGAAUUCCCUUCCUUUUUAAAGCUAAAUAAUACUCAUUCUGUGUAUGUAUACCACAUUUUGCAUGUGCAUUCUUUUAUCAAGGAAUAUUUGGGUUGCUUCUACGUUUUGGCUAUUGUGAAUAAUGCUGCUACAAAUAUGGAUGUACAAAUAUCUCUUCAAGGUCCUUCUUUCUUUUUUUGGAUAUAUGCGCAGAAGUGGGAUUCUUGGAUCAUAUGGUUUAUGGUGGUUUUUUGACAUUAAGAAUAUAAGAUUCUUUUCUGUAUUUUUCAUUCAUUUUAGUUUAGUUUUUUAAAUCUUGGACAGACUAAGCAAUAGAAUAUUCAGAAUUGUUGGUUUUGUUUUAAACAAUAGUUUGACCUGUGACAUCAGCAUAUUAAACUAUCACAAGACACACACAAGGUCAAAGCCCAGGAAUGACUUCCCUGUAAGUCAAUUUAUAGCAUCUUAUUCCUUUGAUCAUCUUACUCUACUGGGAGAUCAACAUGUUGCUGUCAAGGGUCAGAUAAUUCUCUUCUGUGAUAAGUUUUACUAGUUUAGAAGCAUACAUUCAAGUAAUGCCUAAUUUAGCUUUUUUAUUGUGUUGAUACAUCUUUGGCUACUUAAUUUUUAUUUUUAUCAAAAUAAUCCACAUACGUGAUUUUUUAAGUCAAGGUUUUUAUCUUAACAUCUAAAAGAUUUUAAUGAUGUUUAAUCCACAUACAUGAUUUUUUAAGUCAAGGUUUUUAUCUUGUUAACAUCUAAAAGAUUUUAAUGAUGUGCAACAGUGUUCUAUACGUCUCACCUUAAUUCCCUUUUCCCAAAGGCAACUUUUAAUUUUUUUUUUUUUUUUUUCUUUUUUGAGAUGGAGUCUUGCCUGGGCCACAGAGCAAGACUCCGUCUCAAAAAAAGAAAUGUUAUGAAAAAUUUGGAAAUAUUUGUCACUAGCUGUAUGACCUUUUGAAAAAGGUCCGCCUAAUACCAUGCUCAUCUAUAAAAUUGGGGUAUGAUGAUUAUCAAUUUACAGGAUUGUGGUGCAUUUUAAAUGAAACAAGUUCCAUUAAGUGCUUAUUGCUGAAGGUAUAAUUCAGUGAAUGUUCUUUCCUUUUCUUACAGCAGAGUUUGGUAUUUUAUUUUCACCUAAGCCAUUUUGGUUCAGUUCUUAAGGCUUUGAUUAUUUUUUUAAGUUGAAUGGUGUUUAGUGUGCCCAUGUUCAUAACAGCAUAUUAUUCACAACAGCCAUACAGGCUGGGUGUGGUAGCUCAUGUCUAUAAUCCCAGCACUUUGGGAAGCCAAUGUGGGCAGAUUGAGUCCAGGAGUGUAAGGGCAAUAUGGUGAAACCCUGUCUAUACAAAAAAUUAGCCAGUCUUGGUGGUGGGCACCUGUAGUCCCAAUUACUGGGAAGGCUGAGAUGGGAGAAUCACCUGAGCCCAGGAGGUCAAAGCUGCAGUGUGCCUUCAUUGUGCCACUGCAGUCUAGCCUGGGCGACAGAGUGAGACCCUGUGUCAAAAAAAAAAAAAAAAAAAAAAAAAAAGAUAGAUUCUAAGAGGCCAAGGCAGGAAAAUGGGCAGAUUGCUUGAGCCCAGGAGUUGGAGAUUAGCCUGGACAACAUAGCUACUAAAAAUACAAAAAAUGAGCUAAGCAUGGUGGUACAUGCUACUCCCGAGGCUGAGGUGGGAAGAUCACUUGAGCUUGGGGAGGUCAAGGCUGCAGUGAGCCGUGAUCAUGCCACUGCACUCCAGCCUAGGUGACCCUGUCUCAAAAAAAGAAAAAUGUGGUAUAUACAUAGAAUAGAAUAUUAUUCUGCCUUUAAAAAGGAAAUUCUGACAGAUGGUAAGACAUGGAUGAACUCUGAGUACAUUAUGCCGAAUAGGCCAUCUAUUAAAAAAAAAAGGUGUGAUUCUACUAAUGUGAGGUACUUAGAAUAGUCGGAUUCAUGUGAGGUACUUAGAAUAGUCAGAUUCAUACAGAAAAAAAGUAGAAUGGAAGAUGGCCGGGAUGGGUGUAGUUAUUGCUAAAUGGGCAGAGAGUUUCAGUUUUGCAAGAUGAAAAGAGUCCUCUGAAGAUAGAUGUUGGUACACGGAGCACCGUGGCUCACGCCUGUAGUCUCAACACUUUGGGAGGCUGAGGCAGGAGGAUUGUUUGAGCCCAGGAGUUCAAGACCACCCUAGGUAACAUAGGGAGACCUCAUCUCUACAAAAAAUUUAGCCUGGUAUGGUGGUGCAUGAUUGUAGUCCUACCUACUUAGGAGGUUGUUGUGGGAGGAUCACUUGAGCUCAGAAGGUCGAGGCUGCAGUGAGCCUUUACCACACCACUGCACUCCAGCCUGGGCGACAGAGCAAGACCCUGUCUCAGAAGAAAAAAUAAAGGAAAAGUAGAUGUUGGUAAUAGCACAGCCGUGUGAAUGUACUUAAUGCCUCUGAAAUGUACACUUAAAAAUGUUUAAGGUGGUAAAAUUUAUGUUACAUGUAUUGUACCAUAAUUCUUAAAAGAAUAAAGUUUUUUUAAAAUUUUAAGACAGCUGCUGACAGUCCUCAACAAUGGCAUUUAAUAGUCAUGUUAGUAGGUAGGUAAGGCUGUUCCUAUAGAACAGGAGCCACCAACUCCUGCUGGCCAGCUGCCUGUUUAUUUGCUGUGUGAAGGCUAAGAAUGUGUUUUACAUUUUUUAGUUACAUUUUAAAUGGUUAUAUAAGUACCUACAUAACAAUAGCUUUUGACCCUCAAAGCCCAAAAUGUUUACCAUCUGGCCCUUUUAAAAAAGAUACAUGUUAAUCUGUGCUUUAAAGUCAUUGUCAUUUGAAUGCAUUAGUUCUGCCACGAAUCAACCCUAUAUCCCACAAACAAGGCACUUAAAUAUUCUGGGCCUCAUUUUCUCAUGUAUAGAAGAGGUGGUGCUUGCCUAUCGCUUUGGAAGAACUACAUAAGGAUCCCAAAAUACAGGAGGUAAAACUGAAACACAAGUCAUAUUUGCUUUGCUUUAUAGAGAUUGACCAUUGGCCUUAUUUGGUUACUCUGUUCAAAGCAAGUACCUUUGCUUAUCAACUUCCUGUGCUUAGUUGUGUAGAGUUGUUUGAGUAAAGAAACCCUAGAGACCCUUAAACUUGCAAACAGAUCAACCAAUUGGGAAACCCUGGAAUUAAUGGAAACAGUUACAAUUAGAACAUGGCUGGUAUGUGGUAAAAGGCCACCCUUGAGUAAAGAUUAGCUAUGUGAUAAGUACAAACACCAAUGUUUAGUGUCUUGUUGGAGUUGAUUUUUUUUCUCUCUGGCUUUUAAGAAGUAACUUCAUUGACUUGAAUUAAGUUUUUGAUUCAUUUGGCAAGAAAAUAGAAAGCUUUUGGAGGAGUAAAUUAUUUAAUAUGUUACUGGUGUCCCAAAUAUCUUUUUUUUUUUUUUUUUUUUUUGAGACAGAGUCUUGCUGUAUCGCCGAGGCUAGAGUGCAGUGAUGCAAUCUUUGCUCACUGCAACCUCCACCCACCAGGUUCAAGCAAUUCUUUUGCUUCAGCCUCCCACAUAGCUGGGAUUACAGAUGCCUGCCACCACACCUGGCUAAUUUGUGUAUAUUUAAUAGAGAUGGGGUUUCACCAUGUUGGCCAGGCUGGUCUUGAACUCCUGACCUCAAGUGAUUUGCCCACCUUGGCCUUCCAAAGUGCUGGGAUUACAGGCCGUGAGCCACCAUGCCAGGCCUUUUUAAAAUUUUUUUUUAUUUUUUGAGACCAGGUCUGGCUUUGUUGCCCAGGCUGAAGUACAGUGGCACAAUCUUGGCUCACUGCAACCUCCACCUCCUAGGCUCAAGCAAUCCUCUCACCUCAUCCUCCCAAAUAUCUGGGACUACAGAUGCAUGCCACCAUGCCUAGCUAAUUCUUUACAUUUUUUUGUACAGAUGGGUAUCGGGGAACCUGCCCCGAUAGUCGCGUACGUUCUUUUCUAUUUUCCUUAAGCGUCAGCCGGCUUGAGAAAUAAAGGGACAGGGUACAAAAGAGACAAAUUUUAAAGCUGGGCAUCCGGGGGAGACAUCACAUGUAGGUAGGUUCCAUGAUGCCCCACAAGCCGCAAAAACCAGCAAGUUUUUAUUAGGGAUUUUCAAAAGGGGAGGGAGUGUGCGAAUAGGUGUGGGUCAGAGACAUCAAGUACUUCACAAGGUAAUAGAAUAUCACAAGGCAAAUGGAGGCAGGGCGAGAUCACAGGACUACAGGACCAGGGCGAAAAUAAAAUUGCUAAUGAAGUUUCGGGCACCAUUGUCAUUGAUAACAUCUUAUCAGGAGACAGGGUUUUGAGAGCAACCGGUCUGACCAAAAUUUAUUAGGCAGGAAUUUCCUCUUCCUAAUAAGCCUGGGAGCGCUAUGGGAGACUGGGGCCUAUUUCACCCCUACAAUCUACAGACCAUAAAAGAUGGCCACACCCAGGGGGGCCAUCUAUAGACCUAUACCCCCAGGCGUGUAUUCUCUUUCCCAGGGAUGUUCCUUGCUGAGAAAAAGAAUUCAGCGAUAUUUCUCCCAUUUGCUUUUGAAAGAACAACAAUAUGGCUCUGUUCCACCUGGCUCACUGGCGGUGAGAGUUUAAGGUUAUCUCUCUUAUUCCCUGAACAUUGCUGGUACCCUGUUCUUUUUUCAAGGUGCCCAGAUUUCAUAUUUGUUCAAACACACAUGCUCUACAAUUUGUGCGGUUAAUGCAAUUAUCACAUGGUCCUGAGACGACAUACAUCUUCCUUAGCUGACAGGAUUAAGAGAUUAAUGUAAAGACAGCGGCAUAGGAAAUCACAAGGGUAUUGAUUGGGGAAGUGAUAAGUGUCCAUGAAAUCUUCACAAUUUAUGUUUAGCAAUUGCAGUAAAGACAGGCAUAAGAAAUUAUAAAAGUAUUUGGGGAACUAAUAAAUGUCCAUGAAAUCUUCACAAUCCAUGUUCUUCUGCCAUGGCUUCAGCUGGUCCCUCCGUUUGAGGUCCCUGACUUCCCGCAACAGAUGGGGUCUCACCAUGUUGCCCACGCUGGUCUUGAACUCCUGGGCUCAAGCAGUCCACCCACCUUGGCCUUCCAAAGUGCUGGGAUUACAAGUGUGAGCCACCACGUCCAGCCCCCAAGUAUCUUAAAGCCUUAUAGAUUCCACUGUCACUAUGUUACCCCUAGUGCAUAUGCCAAAGAGGAUUCCCAGGGAAGCUUGUUAUUUGAUGGCUGAGAACUAAUGUGAGAAUCCUUCCACAAGGGCCAAGUAGAUACCAUGUUCUUAGAAUGCACAAAGCAAAGAACCAGCUAGAAGCAGUGGUUUUGCAGCUCUUUCCAAAGCCCAUGGACUGACUUCACAGUCCUGUGGAUUAUUGACUAUAGGUUCAGGGGAGUUAAUCUGAAGUUGAAUGUGUGGUUAUAGGAAAUAGUGUCUGCAAAAGUAUUGUGUUUUCAAUUACCGGCCCACCAGCAUUCUUCCACUGACAAACAGCAGUGAGGGCACCUUGGCUAUUGCUUGGUCUUACAUUCAGAAUGGGGUUUUGAGUUACUACAUUUUGGCUACCUGCUUGGAAGAAUCCUUAUUACACUCAAAAUUAGAUCUAAUAACUGAGCGAUAGCAAUGCUGUUGCAGAUACCUUUAGCAUUUAUUCUCCUGUGCCUCAUGGCUUAUUUUUUCCACAUUAGGAAUUUGGUCUAGUUCACUUUCAGCUCUGCAGCUUUUUACUGAUUUGCUAGGCAGAGACAUGAGGUCGAUCCUUAUUAAACUGAACAGAUUAUUUUGAGUAUACACUAUUUUCCAAUUAGUACAAUUUUUCAACCACAUUGAAUACAGUUGGAAGUUUAACUGCUGUGCCUACAGUCUGAAUAUGACAAGUUCACAAAGAGAUGAUGUGAACUUCAAGGAGAUACCUCAUGUUAUGCUUUUAGUGGGGUUUUUUUGGGUUUCUUAAAAAUGUUUUUGGUCCCCCUACAUGUUUGACAGCUGUUUAUAGAUAAUGUCUGCAGUUUCUGUUUGAGAGAGAUAAUUAUGAUACUUAGCAUUGGAAAACUAAGAAGAACGUAAGCAGGUCAGCUAUCAGAAGUCUUCAGACUGGAGAGAUUCCUGGAGGGGGAGUGGCCCUUUAAUCCAUCAGCUGAAGCCAUCUGGUAGGACACUCAUUGCAGAAAUGGUUAGUUCUGAAAUGUUGUAACUCAGCAACAUCACUGAAUGUCACAGAAUUGACAGGCACGGAGCUAAAAGGGCCUCUAGCCACCCCCACAACUCCGCUCUAUCUCUGUCUCCCUAACACAUGACUUGGAACAAAUACACUCUA